CAUCUGUGGGCAGCUGCAGGCUGAGUGACAACAAAGAGUAAGGACCAAGCUUUCUCAGGCAUAUGUGCUAUUGCUAACUUAGCUACUUCUGUCUGUUAUGCCUGUGCAUUAUGCAAGGGCUUGCGUCACUGGAUCCACUUUUCAUGUUAUGUGUUCAGUCCUGUCCACAGCGCUGUAGAGAUCACAAUAGAACUCAUGGACCAGGUAGUAUCUGAGUAGGAGAGAAGUAGACAGUGAAGAGGAGAAGAGCAAAAUUUUGAGCAGGUGGGCAGGACACCAUGCAGUGAACAGCUUUUCUCUGUCAUCUUUUUCUGCCUUGGAGACAGCUGCUCAUUCACUGAAUCCCCGAAAUUACUGUGAGCUCUUCAAGGACAGAGACAGCAUCCCAUUUCAUUCAGCUGGAAAGUUGGAAGGCCCACAGCUUGGCAAUGUUUGGCAUGUAAUCAGCACGCAACAAAAGUUGACAGAAGAAAAGGGGCCGAGAGUAAUGAACGAGUAGAAAUUAUUGUCAUCUCAUAUCAUAGUAUGCAAGAAAAAAGGCAUAUCCAUCUUAUUACUCCUUCCAUGUCAUGUGGCCUUUUCUGGAAAACUAAGUCUGAACAGUAUUCUCAACUCUUACUGUAAAAUUCCACAACACUGAUAACGACCCCAUAAUUAAAGUGUAAGCACUGC